GACAAACCGGAGGAAGGUGGGGAUGACGUCAAAUCAUCAUGCCCCUUAUGACCUGGGCUACACACGUGCUACAAUGGGAAGUACAACGAGUCGCGAAGUCGCGAGGCUAAGCUAAUCUCUUAAAGCUUCUCUCAGUUCGGAUUGCAGGCUGCAACUCGCCUGCAUGAAGCCGGAAUCGCUAGUAAUCGCGGAUCAGCACGCCGCGGUGAAUACGUUCCCGGGCCUUGUACACACCGCCCGUCACACCACGAGAGUUUGUAACACCCGAAGUCGGUGAGGUAACCUUUUGGAGCCAGCCGCCUAAGGUGGGAUAGAUGAUUGGGGUGAAGUCGUAACAAGGUAGCCGUAUCGGAAGGUGCGGCUGGAUCACCUCCUUU
rnacentral:rRNA from 1 species